AUUCCCGAAAAUCUUCAAACUCGUGGAACCAAAGUACCAAAUUUAAAGAGUGAGACAAAAAAAAUAUAUUUAAUUUUUUGAUUCACGUAAAAAUAUAGAAAAGAUUGAAAAGACUUUCUCUCUCUUUUCUCUCUUAAUCUUUGAGAGAGAGAAAGUCUUGUCCGAUGUUCCGAUUUGGUUUCGGCAACGAUCAGUUUUUUAGUGGUGUUGGUCGGCUUUCGUCUAGUGUCGUUGACUCUCUUAGCAAUGUCAAAUAGCUCUAUUUCCAUCAAUUCGCUCUCGAUUCGGAUGGCUUAGGUAUCGGCUUUUAUCUGGAUUUGUUUUUUCAUUUUUCGUUCCUUUGUUUCUAUUUAGUUUCAGUUUUCUUGUGCUUGAUUGCUUUGAUUAGAUCCUUAGAUCUGGGUGGGUAGUUCUUUGCUCCUCCUUUUCUUAA
rnacentral:sRNA from 1 species